UUUAUGACUACAGUAUUUUGCCGUUCAAUACAGCUAAUCAAUUGUAGCAUUCGUAAGUAGCAAGAAAUCUCUUUAUCAUAAAUUAUUGCAGUCGAUAAACUUUAAAUUACAAAAAUGAUUUUGCCAAUUAAACUAAAAUAAUAUUACUCGAACGUCUGGUCAUAAAACUCGUAAAUUUUACCAUACACUGUUUGUACAUGUAAAAUUCGUUCGCUUUAAAAUACUUGGAAUAAUAUAAAUAAUAAUGCUGACAAUAUAUUUAAUUAUGAAUUUCAAAAUCAAAAAAAAACUUGAUACGUUCAUUGUAAUUGUACAAACGGCUAGCAUAGCUAACUUCUACUACAUUUAGUAAAACUCCAAACCAUCACCUACUGCGUGUCUUUAUUCUAAAGAAGAUAUGAAUU